GGGUUGUGAGGUUAAGCGACUAAGCGUACACGGUGGAUGCCCUGGCAGUCAGAGGCGAUGAAGGACGUGCUAAUCUGCGAUAAGCGUCGGUAAGGUGAUAUGAACCGUUAUAACCGGCGAUUUCCGAAUGGGGAAACCCAGUGUGUUUCGACACACUAUCAUUAACUGAAUCCAUAGGUUAAUGAGGCGAACCGGGGGAACUGAAACAUCUAAGUACCCCGAGGAAAAGAAAUCAACCGAGAUUCCCCCAGUAGCGGCGAGCGAACGGGGAGCAGCCCAGAGCCUGAAUCAGUAUGUGUGUUAGUGGAAGCGUCUGGAAAGGCGCGCGAUACAGGGUGACAGCCCCGUACACAAAAAUGCACAUGCUGUGAGCUCGAUGAGUAGGGCGGGACACGUGGUAUCCUGUCUGAAUAUGGGGGGACCAUCCUCCAAGGCUAAAUACUCCUGACUGACCGAUAGUGAACCAGUACCGUGAGGGAAAGGCGAAAAGAACCCCGGCGAGGGGAGUGAAAAAGAACCUGAAACCGUGUACGUACAAGCAGUGGGAGCACGCUUAGGCGUGUGACUGCGUACCUUUUGUAUAAUGGGUCAGCGACUUAUAUUCUGUAGCAAGGUUAACCGAAUAGGGGAGCCGAAGGGAAACCGAGUCUUAACUGGGCGUUAAGUUGCAGGGUAUAGACCCGAAACCCGGUGAUCUAGCCAUGGGCAGGUUGAAGGUUGGGUAACACUAACUGGAGGACCGAACCGACUAAUGUUGAAAAAUUAGCGGAUGACUUGUGGCUGGGGGUGAAAGGCCAAUCAAACCGGGAGAUAGCUGGUUCUCCCCGAAAGCUAUUUAGGUAGCGCCUCGUGAAUUCAUCUCCGGGGGUAGAGCACUGUUUCGGCAAGGGGGUCAUCCCGACUUACCAACCCGAUGCAAACUGCGAAUACCGGAGAAUGUUAUCACGGGAGACACACGGCGGGUGCUAACGUCCGUCGUGAAGAGGGAAACAACCCAGACCGCCAGCUAAGGUCCCAAAGUCAUGGUUAAGUGGGAAACGAUGUGGGAAGGCCCAGACAGCCAGGAUGUUGGCUUAGAAGCAGCCAUCAUUUAAAGAAAGCGUAAUAGCUCACUGGUCGAGUCGGCCUGCGCGGAAGAUGUAACGGGGCUAAACCAUGCACCGAAGCUGCGGCAGCGACACUAUGUGUUGUUGGGUAGGGGAGCGUUCUGUAAGCCUGUGAAGGUGUGCUGUGAGGCAUGCUGGAGGUAUCAGAAGUGCGAAUGCUGACAUAAGUAACGAUAAAGCGGGUGAAAAGCCCGCUCGCCGGAAGACCAAGGGUUCCUGUCCAACGUUAAUCGGGGCAGGGUGAGUCGACCCCUAAGGCGAGGCCGAAAGGCGUAGUCGAUGGGAAACAGGUUAAUAUUCCUGUACUUGGUGUUACUGCGAAGGGGGGACGGAGAAGGCUAUGUUGGCCGGGCGACGGUUGUCCCGGUUUAAGCGUGUAGGCUGGUUUUCCAGGCAAAUCCGGAAAAUCAAGGCUGAGGCGUGAUGACGAGGCACUACGGUGCUGAAGCAACAAAUGCCCUGCUUCCAGGAAAAGCCUCUAAGCAUCAGGUAACAUCAAAUCGUACCCCAAACCGACACAGGUGGUCAGGUAGAGAAUACCAAGGCGCUUGAGAGAACUCGGGUGAAGGAACUAGGCAAAAUGGUGCCGUAACUUCGGGAGAAGGCACGCUGAUAUGUAGGUGAAGUCCCUCGCGGAUGGAGCUGAAAUCAGUCGAAGAUACCAGCUGGCUGCAACUGUUUAUUAAAAACACAGCACUGUGCAAACACGAAAGUGGACGUAUACGGUGUGACGCCUGCCCGGUGCCGGAAGGUUAAUUGAUGGGGUUAGCCGCAAGGCGAAGCUCUUGAUCGAAGCCCCGGUAAACGGCGGCCGUAACUAUAACGGUCCUAAGGUAGCGAAAUUCCUUGUCGGGUAAGUUCCGACCUGCACGAAUGGCGUAAUGAUGGCCAGGCUGUCUCCACCCGAGACUCAGUGAAAUUGAACUCGCUGUGAAGAUGCAGUGUACCCGCGGCAAGACGGAAAGACCCCGUGAACCUUUACUAUAGCUUGACACUGAACAUUGAGCCUUGAUGUGUAGGAUAGGUGGGAGGCUUAGAAGUGUGGACGCCAGUCUGCAUGGAGCCGACCUUGAAAUACCACCCUUUAAUGUUUGAUGUUCUAACGUUGACCCGUAAUCCGGGUUGCGGACAGUGUCUGGUGGGUAGUUUGACUGGGGCGGUCUCCUCCUAAAGAGUAACGGAGGAGCACGAAGGUUGGCUAAUCCUGGUCGGACAUCAGGAGGUUAGUGCAAUGGCAUAAGCCAGCUUGACUGCGAGCGUGACGGCGCGAGCAGGUGCGAAAGCAGGUCAUAGUGAUCCGGUGGUUCUGAAUGGAAGGGCCAUCGCUCAACGGAUAAAAGGUACUCCGGGGAUAACAGGCUGAUACCGCCCAAGAGUUCAUAUCGACGGCGGUGUUUGGCACCUCGAUGUCGGCUCAUCACAUCCUGGGGCUGAAGUAGGUCCCAAGGGUAUGGCUGUUCGCCAUUUAAAGUGGUACGCGAGCUGGGUUUAGAACGUCGUGAGACAGUUCGGUCCCUAUCUGCCGUGGGCGCUGGAGAACUGAGGGGGGCUGCUCCUAGUACGAGAGGACCGGAGUGGACGCAUCACUGGUGUUCGGGUUGUCAUGCCAAUGGCACUGCCCGGUAGCUAAAUGCGGAAGAGAUAAGUGCUGAAAGCAUCUAAGCACGAAACUUGCCCCGAGAUGAGUUCUCCCUGACCCUUUAAGGGUCCUGAAGGAACGUUGAAGACGACGACGUUGAUAGGCCGGGUGUGUAAGCGCAGCGAUGCGUUGAGCUAACCGGUACUAAUGAACCGUGAGGCUUAACCUUACAACGCCGAAGCUGUU
rnacentral:rRNA from 1 species